GUAAAAAGUGCGAUUGUUUUUGUAACUUAUUAUUACCCAUCAAAAAAAUGUGUUUUACUGACCUUUAAAAUAAAUUGCUUCUACAAAACUCUAUUUAAGUGUUUAUAUCUAAAGUAAAACUUCACGACCCGCCCACAUGACGCAGCACGCAUCCAGAGCAACGACACCGUUGCUCAUACCUGUACUGGACCAGUUUUGGAGUUCUGUGGAGUUUUUGAGGGCUUUAUACAACGUGCAACACAUAGAGAUGUCAGAAGCAUAAAUGACAUGAUGGCCAGGAGAUAUAGCUGGGGAAGAAUGGAAGUGGUUGUCCAGAGCCCAGAUGUGCAAAAAUUAAAGAAAGAUGGCCUGCCCAGAUAAAUGAAGAAUUCCAAAGGUGUACUGGUGUUCCACAAGAAUCAGUUUUUAUGUCCCAGCUGGACAAAUACACUCAAAAACUUCUUGACCUGUUUAGUGCGAAGGGUGCAGCGACUGGUCAACGCAUCAAUUGGAGUUAUUGGAACUGAAACAGGUAAGGCAAACAUGGUAACAAUG